rnacentral:rRNA from 1 species
UACAGAGGGGGCAAGCGUUGUUCGGAAUUACUGGGCGUAAAGCGCACGUAGGCGGCUUUCUAAGUCGGGGGUGAAAUCCUGGAGCUCAACUCCAGAACUGCCUUCGAUACUGGAGAGCUCGAGUCCGGGAGAGGUGAGUGGAACUGCGAGUGUAGAGGUGAAAUUCGUAGAUAUUCGGAAGAACACCAGUGGCGAAGGCGGCUCACUGGUCCGGUACUGACGCUGAGGUGCGAAAGCGUGGGGAGCAAACAGG